rnacentral:lncRNA from 1 species
AACAUCCCAAACAAAUUAAGCUUCCUUCUUUUCCUUUUACUUACAGGUGUUUUUGGGGAGAAGUGCUAAGAAAGACUCCCUACUCUUAGUGAGAAGACUGUAAUACUGACAUGGGUUUGCCAUCUUGUGUAUGCUGCAAACUUUGAAGCAGGAAACAGCAUAGAUUUGCCACAGAUAAUGGAAGGUAAGUGAUUGAUAUUGACAGAUUUCAAGGAUGAUGGCCCUUCCAGUCAGGACCAGUGGACCACGUAAUACUUGGAUCAGAUAAUUGCCAAAUGCAGUGAACACUUUUCAAUUCUUAUUUGAUCUCCAGACAUAGCG